CUAGUCGGAUUCGUUAACCACUGCGCCACGACGGGAACUCCCAUGAAUACCCGCCAUUCUUUAAUGGAGUGGCCCACGUAAUUAAGGGACCCUCCGUGCCCCAGCUCCCUGCACGUACGCACCCCGCGCCUCAGAGGGGUCUGGGCCAACGGGUUCUCGCGGUCCUGUUCCCAAGGGUGAGCACCCACCACCCAGAGCCUGCGGACGGCUCGGGGUGGGCUCCGAGCCCUGCGAACGGCAGGAAUCAGGACGGAUUUGGGCCUCCCUUAACCCUUCCCUGUUUUGCCAGCCUUGGCCAGUCUUUCCACUUGUUUCACUUUAUAUAACCCUCGCCCUAAACUCUGCAGCAUCUAUGCACUCAGCAACACUCCGAGGUGGCAGGCAGCCCUGCAGCCAGCUCAGGCUAAACCCUGCCUAGACAGGAUCCCAGCUGCCCAUGCCCACGUGCUCUAGGGCCACCUCUCCGGCUCCUCACCUCUGGCUCCUCAUGCGGUCCCGAGGGUAGAUGCCUGCCUGGCCAGCUACCCUGCACCAGGGGUGGCUGGAAGCAUCCCCCGUCCCUGAAAGCCACGGCCAAAGUCAAACGACAGACAGCUGUCCUGGGAGCCGUGCAGACACCCAGACUGACAAGCCUCAGGGAAGAGGUACCUCACCGCAUGCUGGUCUCUGCCUCUCGGGGGUCACUGCAGGCUGGGCAGUGAUAACCAGGGAUGUUUGGGUCCAGAGGACACAAGGAAGGCUCCCGAGGAAGGUACAGUUUGCCUCAUAAAAAUAGAAAAAUUCCGGAGUUCCCAUAGUGGCUCCAUGGUUAACAAACCUGACCAGUAUCCAUGAGGUUGUGGGUUCAAUCCCUGGCCUCGCUCAGUGGGUUAAGGAUCCGGUGUUGCCGUGAGCUGUGAUGUGGGUUGCAGACGUGGCUCGGAUCCCACGUUGCUGCGCUUGUGGUGUAGGCUGGUGGCUACAGCUCCGAUUGGACCCCUAGCCUGGGAACCUCCAUAUGCCCCAGGUACAGCCCUAAAAAGCAAAAAAGAAAAAAAAAAAAAAUUUCCACUUUCCACAUCUUCUUCUCUUUUGAAGAGAGAACAGAAAGCAGGGCGUGCUUUUCGGGACUUCCAGGAGAGCGUUCCAAAGAGACAGCCUUCCCCCCACCCCAUCGCGGGAACAAGGGCAGUCACUUCACCGAAAGAAAAAGGACACCGGAAAGUUGAACCACUUUUAAAAGAAAAAGCUGAAAAGAACCUUUUCAAUAACAAAAACAUCUACAGCGUUAAAUAUGCAAAUCUGUGCAUUUCUACUUCUGCCUAAAGUGGCUCUUUUCCGGGUUGGAGGACCAGAGCCGAGGGGGCACCGAGGGCCUCUGUGUGUCUCUGGGGUCAGGCUGGGCCAUCAGGGCACGGCCUGUGCCGCUCGCUGCGCCAGGCCAGGGACGGACGGGGGCCUGCGACGCUGGGACCAGCUGGACGCCCACCGGCGUGUUUUUCGAGCCCUCACCGUCCAGCUGGCGCCUCAGCGACUGAGCCUUUUACGAUUGGUGUUGGUGGCGGUGGUGGUUUGCAGGUCCCAUCACAGGCGACUGCACAGAGCUCCCGGUGCGGUAAGGCGGGACUCACCGGCUGUCCACGCUAAAUGCCACCGUCCGGGCCUCUUAACCCGGACCUCCCACGCCAAGGUCCAGCCUAACCUGUGUUUCCUUGGGGCUGCUUCCCAAGCCCCAAGCAUCACGUGCCAGCUUCAUGAGGUCUGUCCCCUUCAGGUCCCACCUAGCUAUCACUCAUUCUCUGGGUUCAUCGACCUGAAGUCUUUUUUGUACCUCAGAGUGAGCCUGAGGAAGAGGGCUUGUGAACUCAGGCUUUUGAUUUCUUUUCAACACACGUUAAAAUAGAAACACUAAAAAAAUCAACCACCAUUACACGCAAUUACACCGCGCUACGAUAUAAAAUCUAUGGAGCUGUUGGGAAAACAGCAGUGAAGCCAGCAAACGCUUCACCCUCUAAGGCUCUUACGGAAAGUUGAGAGCGUCUGACACCAAAGGAAAUCAGAAGACAUUCCAAAUGCGUCAUCUGGUCUCGUGCGACUGCAUCUGUUUUCUUCUGGUUGUCUUUUCCUUACCUGGACCACUACUGCGCCCGAUAGAGUCUUUGCCGCAAGAGACCCUGCCCUAUGAGGGCCCUCUGCAGGGGCUACUGGGUCACUACAUGACCAGAAUGACCCCAAAAGGGUGGUCUGCACGCUCCAAAAAUAGCCUGAGGAGAACUUUCAAAUCAAGGAAACCAAAGGCUUCAGUGGUGGGAAGUUUUAAGAGAAUUAAAGGUAUGAUCUGAUUACUGCUAUUAAAAUAAAAAACUAUCCUGCCAUAAAGGGCUCUUUAUGGUGGCUGCAAUUACCUUAUCAGAUAAUGCACCUUAACAAUUAUAAUUAUAACCUAAUUAUAAUUUGUUUGAAAGUCUGUAUUUAGCAAAGAGAAAAAGUUGCUUAAUACAUCAGUUCAAUCAACCCCUGUAAGCCUUUCCAUUAAGGUGUGGGAACCACAUUAGGGUUUCUGUUCAGGAGAUUUUUUUUUUAAGUUCAGGGAGGGGGCGUCGGGGGUGGAGCUCCAACAGGUGGUUUUUUUUGGUUUUUGUGGGGUUCGUCUUUUUAGGGCUGCAACCACGGCAUAUGGAGGUUCCCAGGCUAGGGUUCGAAUCAAGAGCUGCAGCUGCCGGCCUACACCACAGCCAAUGCAACGCAGGGUCCAAGCCACCUCUGCGACCUACACCACAGCUCACAGCAACACUGGAUCCUUCACCCAUGGAGCAAGGCCAGGGAUCGAACCCACAUCCUCACAGACCCUAGUUGAGUUCAUUCAUUACUGCUGAGCCACGACGGAUGUCCUCUAACGGCUGUUUUCAAAAUGAUAAAGUCAAAUGCACUUAAAUUCAGCACAGAAGAAACCCCCAGCCUGGACUGAGGACUCCUUUUUAAGGGGACGGCAACUUGGGGGUGCUGCCCACGCAGACCUUAGACCAGAGGCCAGGCCAGCUCCGUAUGCGAAAAGGUGACAGCAGGACCCUGAGGUGCCCGGCUCCUGAGAAGCGGACGGUCAGGGCCUGGUGAAGCCAGAGGGAUUCUGGCCAACACAGCAACGGUCACCCUAAACACAGGGGUCAUGCCAGGAGCAGGGGGCAGGCUGACCAGAACGCCAGCUGGCCAGGUGAGCCGCCCAGAUCCAGCUCCGUGAACACACGGGGUCUCCAGCCUCUGGGCUGGCGGGGCAGCAGGGGGGAUGCGGAUGUUAGAAACGCAUGUUCCACGUGGGAGAGCCCUCUUGACCAACCACCCGACCUGACUCUCCAAAGUAACUGGCACCCCCUUUUCCUCUGAAAAUCCUCUAAAAACAUCCCUGCCGAGCCCACCUCCGCUGAGGGCCAGUGGCUGGUCGCACCACACCUGCAGCCCCCACCCAGGAGAACUUGGUCAUCAAACGCCCCAGUGUGUUUCCAAACCUUCCGACACCCACUGUACUCACAACCAUAAUUACAUCACUCAGUUAAACAGCACACAAAUCGAUGAAAUGGAAGUUUUAAUAAGAGUCACUGUAAUUACAUCAUUUGAUUAAACAUUACACAGACUGAUUAAACAGGAACUUAAAUAAGAGGGAUUUUUCCUUAGAAAAUUAAGUUGAAGGUUUUUGGGGAGAUUCAAUGAAGGCAAGUUGCUUUUUUUUUAAAAGAAAAUACGUGUAAGUAAGUGUACACAAGAGCACCUGAAGGACGGGAGGGGGCACGAUGGUGAUGGCAGCCGCCAGGCUGCUUCUUACUUGCUCAUGCACCUAGUCACCUUCCAAAAGGAGCAUCAGGGAGUUCCCGCCGAGGCGCAGCGGAAAUGCAUCCGACUAGGAACCAUGAGGUUGCAGGUUCGAUCCCUGGCCUCGAUCAGUGGGUUAAGGAUCUGGCGUUGCCAUGAGCUGUAGUGUAGGCCGCAGAUGCGGCUCAGAUCCUGUGUUGCUGUGGCUGUGACGUAGACCAGCAGCUGUAGCACCCAUUUAACCCCUAGCCUGGGAACUUUCAUGUGCCUCGGGUGCGGCCCUGAAAAAACAAACAAACAAACAAAAAACAACAAAAGGGGCAUCAAGAAGACACUGGCUGCCCAGCCCCACUGCCCUGGGAGCCCGGAGGCCGUGCUGAGCCUGGUCUGUCUCUGCGGCUCAGCCUCUAGCACAUGCUCUGUAGAUCCUCGGCAAUACGGCUGAGGGCAAGGAGGUGACACACAUGCAGCCUCCCAGCUGGGCUCCUGGAAGGUUCUGGAGAGGCAGCUGCAGGAGCAUUUCAGAGGCUCAGAGGGGCCACUGGCGAAGGGAAGGGAAGGGGGGACACUGUUUCCCUGGAGAGAUGAGAUCUGGGCAGGGGUCCGGGCCAGGUGCAGAGGAGGGCGCAGGAGGUGAAAGGGAUACAGCAGCGUGUGUGGAGGUGCCAGGACUGUGGGGAGCAGGGCACAGGAGGGGGCAGGUAGUGCUGCCCAGCGGGGGGGCCCCAUCACCUGGAGAACCAGCCGGGCCUGCAGGGACUCCUGGCUUCUUCCACCCAGCAAGCAUCUGCUCCACAGCUCCCUUGGGGAAAUUCCUCAGCCUGGCCUACAGCCUCCUACCGCCCCCCCAUUCCCGGGGGGGGGGCGGGGGCGGGGGGGACGUCUAAAGAGAUCAGCAGUUCCAUAAAACAGGAUGGGCUGGGAAGCAAGCUGCUGACGUGCCUCCCCCAGCAUGGCAUUGAGAGCUCCGGGAUGUGGACAGACAGACCUCCCACCUGCAGAAACACAGCUCAGGUACAGACAGCGUGGUCCCACCAGACAGGGAGGACACGGCCCCUGCAAAGGCGCCGGCGUGGUGGGACAUGGGACCUUCAAGGGCCAGGCGACUGGACAGAGGGCUCAGGGCAGGGCUUGGAGAUAAAGACGAAGAUGCUUCGGCUAAAUGGUACCCGAUGCCAGCCUCCAAGCCAAGGAGAGGGGUCCCUGGGCUUGAGAAGGAGGUCCAGGGCUCAGGGCUUCUCUUGGGGCAGGCAGGGCCCUUCCCAUGAAAGAGACUGUUCCCCUGCCUUUUCCCAGGGCCUCCGUUUCCAAACAUCCUUCCAGCUCAACUGAGGCAGGAAAGCAGAGAGGUCAAGACGCCGGCCCACACAUCCAAGCUCCGGGCACACCUCCGACUGGGAUGGAGAAAAAUGGGAUGCAGCAGGUGCAGGGAAAUGCCAACUGUGGAACCCAAGGGGCGGGUGGACAGUACAUGCUGUAAAAUCCUUUCCGUUUUUCUGGAUGUCUGAAAAUUUCCAUAAUCAAAAGUAGCUCGGUGGCAAAACAUCCCCUUGGAAAUUUCUGGAUAUAAGCAACAUGAGACGCUCUCAGUAGACACACCUCACGGCAGCCUUUCUGGAACACUGCCAUCACAAGUACCAAGGCGAAGUGUGUCUCGGUAACUGCACUGGAACAGGUGACAGCCCAGCCCCGGGAAUCCCCGUCAUGCAUCACCCGGCGGUCAGGUCACCAGGAGCAGCGCGGCUCCGCGGGCUGCACUGUGGAAGAGGACAGGACACAGAGGACCCUUCUAGAAGCAUCCCCUCUAAGUUCUAUAACAGAUACUGAAAAGCCAGGCGCCCCUCCCCCGCCUUGGUUUAGAACAUGGGCAAGGGGCACGCAGCCCCCCUGCAGGGUGCUGAUGCCAGGACCCGGUGCUGAGGACCCAGGCUGACUCCCGGCCCUGGGUCUGGCUCAGAGCAGGACCAAUGAUGUUAAAUGUUAAACGGACCAAUGGUGCUGAAGCCUGAAGUUUAGGAAGGGCACUUGCAGGCAUCCUCAAGAGCACGGAUACGGAGUAGAACGUGCAGAAAGCCGUCUCCGGGUCUCAGCCUGAGCAACUGGAUGAAAACCCAUCCAUCCCUGAGAGAGGUGCUGGGAGGCCUCCUUGGCCCGCUGGAGGCCAGACAAGACCGACUUCUCAGCAUCCCCCGAGGGUCCUGAAAGCAAGGCUCAAGGCUGCAAUGUCACCCCAGCUCC
ensembl:lncRNA